rnacentral:rRNA from 1 species
AUUGAACGCUGGCGGCAGGCCUAACACAUGCAAGUCGAACGAUUGGCGGACGGGUGAGUAAUGUCUGUGAAACUGCCCGAUGGAGGGGGAUAACUACUGGAAACGGUAGCUAAUACCGCAUCCCAUCGGAUUUGCCCAGAUGGGAUUAGCUUGUAGUUGGGGUAACGGCUCACCUAGGCGACGAUCCCUAGCUGGUUUGAGAGGAUGACCAGCCACACUGGAACUGAGAAACGGUCCAGACGCCGACGGGAGGAAGCAGUGGGGAAUAUUGGACAAUGGGCGCAAGCCUGAUGAAGCCAUGCCGGGUGUAUGAAGAAGGCCUUCGGGUUGUAAAGUACUUUCAGCGAGGAGGCGUUACUCGCAGAAGAAGCACCGGCUAACUCCGUGCCAGCAGCCGCGGUAAUAC